GUUUGAUCCUGGCUCAGGAUGAACGCUAGCGGCAGGCCUAAUACAUGCAAGUCGAGGGGCAGCACGGUAGCAAUACUGGUGGCGACCGGCAAACGGGUGCGGAACACGUACGCAACCUUCCUUCAAGUGGGGGAUAGCCCAUAGAAAUGUGGAUUAAUACCUCGUAAGAUUGUAGUGUGGCAUCACACAGCAAUUAUAGAAUUUCGCUUGAAGAUGGGCGUGCGUCUGAUUAGGUAGUUGGUGAGGUAACGGCUCACCAAGCCGACGAUCAGUAACUGGCGUGAGAGCGCGACCAGUCACACGGGCACUGAGACACGGGCCCGACUCCUACGGGAGGCAGCAGUAAGGAAUAUUGGUCAAUGGACGGAAGUCUGAACCAGCCAUGCCGCGUGGAGGAUGAAGGUCCUCUGGAUUGUAAACUUCUUUUAUUUGGGACGAAACACUUCCUUUCUAGGGAGCUUGACGGUACCAAGUGAAUAAGCACCGGCUAACUCCGUGCCAGCAGCCGCGGUAAUACGGAGGGUGCAAGCGUUAUCCGGAUUCACUGGGUUUAAAGGGUGCGUAGGCGGGCUUGUAAGUCCGUGGUGAAAUCUCAAAGCUUAACUUUGAAACUGCCAUGGAUACUAUAGGUCUUGAAUGUUGUGGAGGUUUGCGGAAUAUGUCAUGUAGCGGUGAAAUGCUUAGAUAUGACAUAGAACACCGAUUGCGAAGGCAGCAGGCUACACAAAUAUUGACGCUGAGGCACGAAAGCGUGGGGAUCAAACAGGAUUAGAUACCCUGGUAGUCCACGCCCUAAACGAUGAUUACUCGACAUUUGUGAUACACAAUAAGUGUCUGAGCGAAAGCAUUAAGUAAUCCACCUGGGAAGUACGACCGCAAGGUUGAAACUCAAAGGAAUUGACGG
rnacentral:rRNA from 1 species